AUCUCGGUUCGGUUUACUUCCGAACGCCAGGACUACUGAGUGGACCUGUGAAGUUCAUCGUUAACUUGGCAGAGUCGUUCCGUUGAGUCCGUAGAGAUCAGAAUCAAUUUGUUUGGCCGAGAGAGAGAGAGUGAAGGAGAAGAAGAUGGCUGAGACUGUGCAUUCUCCGAUCGUGACUUUUGCAUCGAUGCUAUCGCUUCUUGCUCUUUGUCCACCUUUCGUCAUUCUCCUUUUCAUUCCUCUGGAUUCUUGUGGGAGAAUGGAGUUAAAGGGCUCAUCAACAUAUGGCCAAGACCCACUGCCAUCGCUUGGAAGAUCAUCUUUUGCUAUGGAGCAUUUGAGGCUGCUCUCCAGCUUCUUCUUCCUGGUAAAAGAGUUGAAGGCCCAGUUUCUCCGACGGGGAACCGACCAGUUUACAAGGACAAUGGUAUGGCUGCCUAUUUUGUGACACUAGCCACCUAUCUUGGUCUUUGGUGGUUCGGGAUAUUCAACCCUGCAAUUGUCUACGAUCACUAGGGUGAAAUAUUUUCGGCACUGAUAUUCGGAAGCUUCAUAUUUUGUGUUCUGUUAUACCUCAAACUAAGUGUGCAUGCAUGUUUCUCCUUAGUCUCUAAAAAUGUAGUCUUCGGUUUUUAUGUUUUUAAAACUUGUGUGUUUUGUCUUUUACAAGGGUCAUGUUGCACCUUCAUCAAGUGAUUCUGGUUCAUGUGGUAACACCUUAUUAUCGACUUCUACUGGGUCUGGGGCAUGGAGUUAUACCCUCGAAUUGGUAAGAACUUUGACAUCAAGGUUUUUACUAAUUGCAGAUUUGGUAUGAUGUCCUGGGCUGUUCUUGCCGUCACCUACUGCAUUAAGCAGUAUGAAAUAAAUGGGAGAGUAUCUGAUUCAAUGCUUGUGAACACCAUUCUGAUGCUGGUGUAUGUCACGAAAUUUUUCGGGUGGGAAGCUGGUUACUGGAACAGCAUGGACAUCGCACAUGACCGAGCGGGAUUCUACAUUUGCUGGGGCUGUCUAGUGUAGGUGCCUUCUAUUUAUACAUCUCCAGGCAUGUACCUUGUGAACCACCCAGUCAAACUUGGAACUCAGUUGGCAAUAUACAUUCUGGUGGCGGGGAUUCUUUGCAUUUACAUAAACUAUGAUUGCGAUAGACAAAGGCAAGAGUUCAAGAGGACAAACGGGAAAUGCUCGGUUUGGGGCUAAGUGUAGCAUCCCUAUCCCGCAGUCUGAACUGGAUCAGUCCAAGGUCGGACUGAUCAGACGGGACAGACAUGUUGGACAUGUCAUCUGGAUAGUACUGGUCAGAUUAAGACGAUACGGUAUGUCCGAACAUAGCAGUUGAGCUUGUCGGACUAAGCUGGACGGAUUCAGACAAGGCAGCUGGACUUGUCAUCCGAGAUCAGUAGUCAAUGUGUGGACUGACUGGUAUACGUUCUGACGGGAACAGAUACUGAGUUGAACAUGAACUGAUUAGCCAAGCAAAAUGGCGGAAACAGUUAUCUGACGGUUACUGAAUUUAUAAACUGCUUGGCGGUUACCGGGAGCAGUUACCGAGUGGUUACCGAACAGUUUGGCGGGUGGUUAUUAAGCCGGUUACUGAACUGCUGGAGAAGUUGGGAGAGCAAGUACUGAACUACUUAAUUGAACCGAGAGUGGUUACUGGUUUCGGAGUAAUAAGUAACUGCCCGGAUAGACGGUUGAAGGGAAAAAGGAGCGCGGGGAUGGUUAGAGCGGUUGGGAGGCGGUUAUGUGCGUCUGAGUAACUGCCCAGUCUCUUUUAAUGAGAUUUCCGCGGAUCAGAGAAGGGACAUCUCUGCUCUAUACGGUUCAGGAGAGACUAGAGAGAGAGAUAUACUGAGAGAAGGCGAUUCUGAUCGGAAAGAUAGAGAGAGUUGGCCGGAAGGCGGAUCGGGGUCUCAGUUACUGGCCGCGGGUCUGUCUGGUGCACUGCGACUCCGUCUGAUCUGAACAUGAUCGGAUCGCGACUGGGAUACCGAGAGACAAUGAUACUGGAUCGAAGGGAUAGAGCGUGGGUACUGAUAAUAGAUCGGCAUACUGUAUCUGAUCAGGUACAGUACGGGAAGGGAACAUAUCGAAUCUGUGUUCUGCGUGGGUUCUUGUGAAUUCGAGUUCUCCUUCAUACCGUGGGCUUGAUGAUGUGGAUCUUCCCUGAUGGAUGGCGAGUUCUGUGGAGGCUGGCUCGGCUGGUUCUGUACACGGUUUGAUGGUUUCUGAUGGGAGGCGUCCGUACUGAUGAUACAGAUCAGACGGCAAGAGUUAUCUGAGGCGGUUAUCAGAUGUUUGGUGCUGGAAUGCGAUUCUGACGGUUGAGGCUUCAGAUCGAGUCUUAGUUCUGUUCCGACGAUGGUAAUGGCCGUGUCUUGAUGGAACGGCUGGUAGCGAGGCGUCUUCUAUUCAUCACGGACUGAGUGUUGGUUGGAGCUUGAGAAGAUUUGAUCUGGUCGUAUGCUGGAGAGGCAGGAAGGUGGCUGUGAAGCCGGGUGUGUUUACAGGGAUCUGGAUGCGUGCUGAUUGAUCUAGGUGUGAUCAAUGUGGUUCUUGAACGCUAGCAAGGCUGGCGUACUAUCGGUACUGGAAGGCAGGUUGGAGACAUAGCCAGGGCAGGAUGGCCGUGAGGUGUACUGAAGGGAUCGAGGGCUGUAGAGCCGAAUAUGUACUGACUGGUCUAGGUAUGAUCAAUGACUGGUUCUGGAACGCUAGCAAGGCUGGCGUACUGUCUAUUCUGGAUGGCUGGUUGGAAACCAAGCCGUCUCUCUUUGUUCAUGGUCAUGUGGGGAUGGUUGGCUGAGUGCCUAAGUAACAAGGGGAUUCGGUUAAGUAUCUGAUCGAGCUGGCUGGAUAAGAACGAAUGAGAAAGGAUGAAGACAACAUGGGUGAAGUGUAUGGAUGGACUGGCGGACAACUAGCACCGAGGCAGUGAGGUACAUGUUUAUUAUAUUGUCAGUCUUAGUAAUUUGCUAGGAUGCUCGAUAGAUUUAAUGAACUUGGGGAACUGAACUGAACCUCAUAGAGGAAAACUGGAUAAAAAUCCUAAGUUAAGAGAAUAAUUCGGAUAGGGCCAGUUUGGUCGAGGGAAGCGAACUGAGGACGAACCGACGGUAAGGGAAACCGGGUCGAAGCCUUUCAAGUGGUAUCAGAGCGAUUACGGUUCUAGGACAGAGUUCGAAGGAUUAUUCAAGAUUUGUCUAGACCGAACAGACGUGGAAAAUGCUAAGCGCGAGCAUUGGAGAACUGACGAGAGACUUGAUCUUGGGAGUGAUCAAGUCGGACUUACACUUUGUAUGGGCAAAUGUAAGUUAGAAGUUUAACUGGAAAGAAACCGGAGAUAAGAUCAUUGAUGGAUGAUUGGAUUGGUUGAAUGAAGUCUGAGUUAAAGAUCAUUUGGGGAAUGAUCGGAUUGCUUAAGGUGUUCUGGAUUACUCAAGAGAGUUAUCCAAUAAAUUUUUCUAAGUGUUGGAAACAACAGAGAGGUUUACUUAAGUCAAUGGAUCCGGAUUCUGAAGUGAAGAAACAGGAAGGAUUGACUAAGAGAUUUCUGAAGCUUAAGGAAGGUUAAGCAGACUGGAAUCAAGAAGAACCAAGCUGUUCGAGAAAGCGAAAGAUGAUUCAAAAAUGUCAAAGAAAGACAAUGAACUGUCAAGGACAAUGAUGUCGGAUAUGGAGCCAAGGAGCUGACGAGUUUAAUUCUGUAUGGACAAGACGUCCGUAACUGGAUCUGAAAGGGGGACUUCAGACGGAAGGCCUUCAAGGCAAGAUAGCCGAGUGGAUGAGCCGGAUGUUGUAAACGAGAACUGAGUUGUACAGGUGGUCUGAGAAUUGAGAUAGUAUCUCAAUGAACGGGUUAAGGCAAUGGAUGGUUUGCUACGAGAUAACCUGAAAGAGUCAGGAAAUCGGAAAACUGAAUUGGACUAGUCGUCCAUGGAAGAGCCUAAGGACUAAUGGCCAAGGCACUGAUGCUGGAAUGUGAAGUACAGAGACUUACAUUCGAAUGGAACGUCUGUUGAGAAUGCUUAGAUGGAUUCUAAGGUUUUCAAGGUAAUGGACAAGCUGGUCCGGGAAAAUGGAACUGGAAGUUUCAUAAAAAGAUUUUUGGAAAAAUCUGAGUGAGACUUACACUUAGCAAGUGGCAAGUGUGAGCAAGUCUGGAUAUAAAGAACUAGACGAGAGAAUUGUCAAGUAUGACUAAGCUCGAUUGUCUUAGUAGGUUUGUGCGGUCCGAGAGUUGAGAUUAUCGGAACAAAAGAUUGGAAGUCAGGUGUACUUGCCAAAGACUUGUUAGGUGAGCAAGAAACUACUCGGAGGUAUAAGAUGCUAUAGAUGAUGAGUUGUGGUCGGAGUUUCAAAAGUGGUAAAUGAUCGGUUCCUGCCAUGAGCGUCUAGAUCACACAAUGUAAUUAAGGGUUGUGAUGCUUGCUAAGGCUUGCUAGAUUUUGGAUGACGGUUCGAUGAUUUGGGACGAUCAUUUGAGUUUAGAUUAUUGAUUCCUUUCAUGCGAAAGUCUAGAUAAGUCUAGGUGCUUAUGGCUGAGAUGCUCAUUAAGACUUAGCUUGAUUGUAAGACGGCUGCUCGAUGACUUGGAAUGAUAAUGCUGGACCAGACUAAGUGUAUGAUUAACUGGACAAGUGGGAAUACUAAAACCAUUAGUGUUAGUGUUGAUGAUAUGUCCUUAGGAACCGAGUGGGAUUGCUGAGGCAUAACAGUUCUGAUACUGUAUGUUCUGGUGUCUAUGGAAACCGAGAGUUUCCAAGACGUGACUGUCUGUCAUCGCGUGUUCUGUCCUGACGUUUGUGGGAACCGGAGAGUUGCCAAGACGUAAAUGUUGUCGCGUCAGUGGGAACUAGAUUAGUUCGCCAUCGCGUGUCUGUACUGCUGUCUGCGGAAACCCAAUCUGAUGUCUGUGGGAGAUGUACCUUCCAAGACAUAACUGUACUGUCACUGGAACUCAAGGAGUUCACUACUGUGGGUUUCCGAUCGCGAUGAAAGCAUGGAUGGGAACUAGUGAGAGUUUGCCAUCUCAUGUCUGUAGGAUGUCUGUCUGUUUGAUAUGCCAUGUAUAUACUGAUGUCUUUGGGAACUGUUGAGUCUUCCAAGACAUAACUGCGACUGAGUCAAUGGGAAAAGAUGAGUUUGUCAUUAUGGGAUUGUGAACCGGGAAGGACUGGGAGUCCGAAAGGAAAAUUGUGCAAGGGAUCAAGUGUAGGAUCCAGUAAGAUAUGUUUGUAAGGAUCAAGAAUGAUCCGGAGGUGUCAAUAAAGAUCAGUAAAGAUCUGAGAAAAGCUGAUGUCGAUCAUAAGUGGUCGGGAUUGGUUAGGAUCAGGGAGUGAUCCGAGGAAAACAACUAUAAGGAUCAAGAUGAGAUGCAUGCGUUCUAAAAAGAUUAAGUUCCUAGUAGUCGGAGUUAGGCCAUGCUAAGGAACACUGGAGUGCGAGAAUCAAACAGUCAAGUCAGGAUUGGACUGAGACUGGUCGAACUGAGUCCUAGAAGGACUAAGGUUGGGUCAUGAGUGACUGCGACCAGUUAAGGAACAGACUGGAAAACACUUAACAAAGGUAGCGAGUUAAACUUCGAGAAUUAAGGUAAACUGGUCAACACUGUUGGGAGUUGUGUGUUCUCACCAAAGUGUGUGUCCAAAGACCGAGGAAUUGCUCGAAAGUAGGAGCUGCUAUGCUUACUGAGUUGGUGAACUGAACUGAGUCUGCUGAGACUAAGUAUGUGGAAAGACACUGAAACGAGGAAAUCGGUAGCUGAGAUCGAAUUUGUUGAGUGGGAUUGUGACCAGAAAGUCUUGAACACAGUAACGGUCGAGUGACCAAAAGCCUGAGAAUUGAGUUAAGGCAUGAGUGCCGUGUGUUAGGAUUCAUUCCGAGUGGGGGAGACUGUCCUGAUUAGGUAGAACAAAGUUCUAUUAACUGCUGAAUUCGAGGACGAAUUCAUUCCAAGUGGGGGAGACUUGUAGCAUCCCCAUCCCGCUGUCUGAACUGGAUCAGUCCAAGGUCGGACUGAUCAGACGGGACAGACAUGUUGGACAUGUCAUAUGGAUAGUACUGGUCAGGUUAAGACGAUACGGUAUGUCCGAACAUAGCAGUUGAGCUUGUCGGACUAAGCUGGACGGAUUUAGACAAGGCAGCUGGACUUGUCAUCCGAGAUCAGUAGUCAAUGUGUGGACUGACUGGUAUACGUUCUGGCGGGAACAGAUACUGAGUUGAACAUGAACUGAUUAGCCAAGCAAAAUGGCGGGAACAGUUAUCUGACGGUUACUGAAUUUAUAAACUGCUUGGCGGUUACUAAAUUUAGACAAGGCAGCUGGACUUGUCAUCCGAGAUCAGUAGUCAAUGUGUGGACUGACUGGUAUACGUUCUGACGGGAACAAAUACUGAGUUGAACAUGAACUGAUUAGCCAAGCAAAAUGGCGGGAACAGUUAUCUGACGGUUACUGAAUUUAUAAACUGCUUGGCGGUUAACGGGAGCAGUUACCGAGUGGUUACCGAACAGUUUGGCGGGUGGUUAUUAAGCCGGUUACUGAACUGCUGGAGAAGUUGGGAGAGCAGGUACUGAACUACUUAAUUGAACCGAGAGUGGUUACUGGUUUCAGAGUAAUAAGUAACUGUCCGGAUAGACGGUUGAAGGGAAAAAGGAGCGCGGGGAUGGUUAGAGCGGUUGGGAGGCGGUUUUGUGCGUCUGAGUAACCGCCCAGUCUCUUUUAAUGAGAUUUCCGCCGAUCAGAGAGGGGGCAUCUCUGCUCUAUACGGUUCAGGAGAGACUAGAGAGAGAGAGAGAUACUGAGAGAAGACAAUUCUGAUCGGAAAGAUAGAGAGAGUUGGCCGGAAGGCGGAUCGGGGUCUCAGUUACUGGCCGCGGGUCUGUCUGGUGCACUGCGACUCCGUCUGAUCUGAACAUGAUCGGAUCGCGACUGGGAUACCGAGAGACAAUGAUACUGGAUCGAAGGGAUAGAGCGUGGGUACUGAUAAUAGAUCGGCAUACUGUAUCUGAUCAGGUACAGUACGGGAAGGGAACAUACCGAAUCUGUGUUCUGUGUGGGUUCUUGUGAAUUCGAGUUCUCCUUCAUACCGUGGGCUUGAUGAUGCGGGUCUUCCCUGAUGGAUGGCGAGUUCUGUGGAGGCUGGCUCGGCUGGUUCUGUACACGGUUUGAUGGUUUCUGAUGGGAGGCGUCCGUACUGAUGAUACAGAUCAGACGGCAAGAGUUACCUGAGGCGGUUAUCGGAUGUUUGGUGCUGGAAUGCAAUUCUGACGGUUGAGACUUCAGAUCGAGUCUUAGUUCUGUUCCGACGAUGGUAAUGGCCGUGUCUUGAUGGAACGGCUGGUAGCGAGGCGUCUUCUAUUCAUCACGGACUGAGUGUUGGUUGUAGCUUGAGAAGAUUUGAUCUGGUCGUAUGCUGGAGAGGCAGGAAGGUGGCUGUGAAGCCAGGUGUGUUUACAGGGAUCUGGAUGCAUGCUAGUACUGGUUGGAUCGUGGGCUGCAGAGCCGAGUUUGUACUGAUUGAUCUAGGUGUGAUCAAUGUGGUUCUUGAACGCUAGCAAGGCUGGCGUACUGUCGGUACUGGAAGGCGGGUUGGAGACAUAGCCAGGGCAGGAUGGCCGUGAGGUGUACUGAAGGGAUCGAGGGCUGUAGAGCCGGAUAUGUACUGACUGGUCUAGGUGUGAUCAAUUACUGGUUCUGGAACGCUAGCAAGGCUGGCGUACUGUCUAUUCUGGAUGGAUGGUUGGAAACCAAGCCGUCUUUCUUUGUUCAUGGUCAUGUGGGGAUGGUUGGCUGAGUGACUAAGUAACAGGGGGAUUCGGUUAAGUAUCUGAUCGAGCUGGCUGGAUAAGAACGAAUGGGAAAUGAUGAAGACAACAAGGGUGAAGUGUAUGGAUGGACUGGCGGACAACUAGCACCGAGGCAGUGAGAGGAAAACUGGAUAAAAAUCCUAAGUUAAGAGAAUAAUUCGGAUAGGGCCAGUUUGGUCGAGGGAAGCGAACUGAGGACGAACCGGCGGUAAGGGAAACCGGGUCGGACCUUUCACUAAGCCCCAUCAAAGAUUGUGGCGACAUAUAAGACAACAGCUAGUGAAACUAAAACCAGUCUUCUCUUAACCUCUGGAUGGUGGGGAUUGGCUUGACAUUUCCAUUAUGUUCCUGAGAUCUUAAGUUCUUUCUUCUGGACCGUACCUACUCUCUUUAGUAACUUCUUGCCAUACUUCUACGUCAUAUACCUCACGAUUCUUCUCUUUGAUCGAGCCAAGAGAGACGAUGACCGAUGCUGAUCAAAGUAUGGGAAAUAUUGGAAGUUGUACUGCGAAAAAGUGCGAUACAGGAUUGUUCCUGGUAUUUAUUGAUAGUCUCUGUUGUCUUCUCUGUUUUUGUUUCGUUCAUUCAAACGUUAGAAUCGUCCAAAGACCCAAAAAUUAUAUAUUUUUUGCUGAUUUUGUAAGCCACUUGAGAAUUUCUAGCCAUGGGUUUCUCUAGAUAUUGCAUUUAAAUUUAACCUAAUGUUUAUCAGUUUUAGAUUA